rnacentral:rRNA from 1 species
UACGGGGGGGGGCGAGCGUUUGUUCGGAAUUACUGGGCGUAAAGGGCGCGUAGGCGGUUCGCUAAGUUGGAUGUGAAAACUCUGGGCUCAACCCAGAGCCUGCAUCCAAAACUGGCGGGCUAGAGUUCUGGAGGGGGUAGCGGAAUUCCUGGUGUAGCGGUGAAAUGCGUAGAUAUCAGGAGGAACACCGGUGGCGAAGGCGGCUACCUGGACAGAAACUGACGCUGAGGCGCGAAAGCAUGGGGGAGCGAACAGG